rnacentral:rRNA from 1 species
AUGACGGCGGAGGUGAUGGCUCCGCGGGACAGCCUUGCCCUAGCAAAUUCUGUAAGGUACAAUAGGGUGGUGGUGAAUUUUGAUUGUACGGAAUUUAUGAUCAUGAAGAAUGGUGGACAUUUAGUAGGGCCUGUGGCAGCGACCUACGACGAUUGUUUCUUCCUCUUUCGUGAUAUUUCCUUUGAAUUUUAUCCUAGGGAAGCCAAUAUGGCAGCACAUGUUUUAGCCAGUAAGUCGAAGAACACUAGUCGUUCUGUCGCAAGAGGAGCCUCGUGCAUUUCUUAUGGUUGUCGUCACAAAUGA